AUAAUAAGUGUUCUACUGCACUUUUUAAAAAUAGUACUCACCUUGUGUGCAAUGUUUGUUAGACUCUCUCGGGAGUCUGACAUUUAUACCAACCUUUUUUAUUUGAACCACUUUGUCUGAAAAAUAUUAUGAAUACUUAAUUC
rnacentral:misc_RNA from 1 species